GUGGUAGCAAUAAUGGAACUGGCGGCGGAGGUGGUUCUGGCGGCAAAGGCGAUGGUGGUGGUGGUGGUGGGGAAUUUCAUUGGGGAGGUGGAGAUGGUGGAGAUAUGGGUGGCACAGAAGAGUAUUAUAAGAACAUGCUGCAGGAAAAUCCUGGCAACUCCUUGUUUCUGAGGAAUUAUGCACAAUAUCUGUAUCAGUCAAAGGGAGAUCUUCAAGGCGCAGAGGAGUAUUACUCACGAGCUAUAUUAGCAGAUCCUAAAGAUGGUGAAGUUCUAUCACAGUAUGCGAAGUUAAUAUGGGAGUUGCAUCAUGAUCAAGAAAGAGCUUCAACCUACUUUGAAGGGGCAGUUCAAGCUUCUCCUGAAGAUAGCCAUGUACAUGCAGCCUAUGCAAGAUUCCUAUGGGAAACAGAGGAAGACGAUGACGAGUGUAACGCGCCAAGAGAUUUUGAUGCCAUGCCCCACAUUUCCAUCAAGACUUAAUGACUUCUACUGGUUCUUGAUGGCAAGAGUGAGCGGCAGCACACAGACAUUGUCAGGAGGGAUAUGUUGGAGAAAAUGAGCAGCAGUGCAUAACUCUUACGUGCCAUGACACACAUUGAGAUAUUCCUUUUCCCAAUUGCGAUGGAGUUGUAAAUUAAUGUUUGAUAUAGUUAUACGCUGAUUGGAGAGUCCUUAAAGCUUGCCACAGCAUAAAUCUGACACCUUGUGAUGAUGGAAUAAACUUGAUUGACUCGCCGUGAAAAAGUUCCAUGUAUUUGGCUAACGAUCGAGUCACAACCAAGUCACCGAUG
rnacentral:misc_RNA from 1 species